GGGCCUCGAGGGCUCGUAUACAUAAGCUCAAAUACAAACGAGUCAGUGGAAGCAACAAUGUCUGAGUACAAACAUAAGUUAAACAAGUUUGCCUUAAGAAGGCUAGCACAAAAUUAUCAACGAUCAAAAAGGCAAGGCCUCCUGCCCGAGAUCCCCCUAACUACUCCUGGUCGUCGGCGGUCUCCAUGUAGUAGUAGGCACCCUCGGGGUAGUAGUAGUCGUCGGUGGUGGCAUCUGGCUCCUGGGAUCUGUCAUCUGAUUGCAACAAUCGGGUAUGGGGAAAAGGGGUAGCAAAGCAACCAUGAGUACUCAUCCAAAGUACUCGCAAGACUUACAUCAGAACUAUUCUAAGUAUGCAUCAGUAUCAAAGGGGUGGGCUGUAUUUGUGGACUGAACUGCAGAAUGCCAAAAGAGAAAGGAAAGCCUAGCCUAUCAGAGACUAACAUCUUAAAGCAUCUUGCAACAUCAGAAGAGAUAAGAGUAACAUAGUAUAAUAGUAGUAAGUGUGUUGUAACAUCGCCCAGGGAUCACUUCCUCGACUCCCUGCGAGAAAGCAAUCCCGGAGCCAUCAUAUCCAUUUCUCAUGCCUCAGCAUCUAGUUCUAGUUGCAUCGAUCGGGAUACAACUCCGAGCGUCCGUUACCAUGGACACAGCUAUUCGAAUAGACCAAUCUUCCCUGCAGGGGUGCACAAACUUACCCAACACGCUCGAUCAACUCCGGCCGGACACACCAUCAGGUCAUGACCGGCCUCGGCCGAUCAACACACCGUAGUCCUACCUAGGCUCAAUAGAGGGGCCAGCACGCUGGUCUACAUCCUAAGUGUGCAGGGGUCUUGGGCCCAUCGCCCGUUUCACUCCUGCAUGUUGCGUACGCGGCCGGUGAGCAGACCUGGCAACCUCCAUCACAAAGGUAGAUUCUUACGCGGUCCAACCCGGCGCGUGCCGCUUAGUCGCUGAUGUCUGGAAAGCUUCGGCUGAUACGUAUGACGCAGAGUGCCCAUACUUAUUCCCGCGUGGUGGUCAGUGCCAAAAAGGCGAGAGGCCUACUCGGAUCACAUAUCCAAAUUGUUAGUGCCUUGGUAGCGCGCGGUAAUGAUCAAUGAUCCACGAUAUCUGGUCCCGUCGCCUCGUCUCACGGACUUGCGACAAGGGCUAAGAAUGCCCGGCCGCGCCGCGUGGAAAACUCGUGGGUAGCCUCCAGAUCAACCCGACUACACAUCAACUCGCGGGUACACUCACGGUCAACCCGACUUCACUUUUCUCUCGUGGGUACCCCUCGGGGCUGACCCGACUUCAGUCAUGGUUCUGUGGUAAAGUCAAAGUAACCGUGUGUCCAAAACAGCAAGGGGGGAACCCGAGGAAUCACCCUGGAUGGAUUCCCACUCGAUGUAACCGUCUAGGUGGACUUGGAGGAAUCACCCUCGAUGGUCCACACUUGAGGGGUUGCACGACAGAGUUUUUAUCGGGAGGGGUGAAGGAGGAAUCACCCUCGAUGACCACGACCGAAUAGCUACACUGUAGUGUUGACAUUAGAAGUGUUGACGAGGUAUCACCCUCGGCACUCGAUAGGAACUCUAUAGAGUCGCACAACUAAGGGCGGGUGAUGUGCGAUGUCGGGGCCUGGACAUCGAUCACGUUGAUCGUGUCAUCGGUCAUCAAGCGGGGGCAACUGGGACAAGGUGAGGGGUCUCUAGUGGAUCACUAACCAACCUAUACUAAGCAGCUUAGGUUAAGUAGUUAAGGUAACAAUUGCAGGUUACAAAAACAGGCAAUGCAUCAGAAUAGGAGCAAUCAAAUACAGUAGCAAAAUCUAAUGCAAGCAUGAGAGAGAAUAGAAUGGGCGAUAUCGGAAUGAUCAAGGGGGUUUGCUUGCCUGGAAGCUCUGCUGAAAAGGGAGAAGGGUCUUCGUCGACGUAGUCGAUCAUAGGGGCAUCGACAGCGGUCUCAGGGUCUACCGGAAAGAAGUAACGGAGGGGGAACAUAAUAAAUAACAGAGCAAACAAUGCAUCACAAAGAAUGACAAAGCAAAACAUUGCGUUGGAGGUGACCUAACGUAGUGCUACACGUUGCAGACGAAGUGGGAAAAUGACUGGAAUGUUUUCUCGGUUUUGGACAUCUGUGAGACAAAUGAACCGGAGGGGAAGGUUCCAUGUUUGAAGUGCUAUAGGCAUGUGACAGAUGAAUGGAUUGCAUAAACGGAUUCGUUAGAUUUUUCUGAGCAACUUCUAUAUAAAAAUUAUUUUCAUCCGAGUUAUAGAUUAUUUUAUAUGAUUUUGUAAAGAUUUAAACAUUUUUUGAAUUUAAUUUAAACAGAAAACAAAGGUGAAAAUGCUACGGGUACACAGAAGUGUACCCAACAUUUUACAUAGUGAACAUGACAGGUGGGGCCAGGGGCGCUGACUCAGCAGUCAACAGUCAACACUUGACUGUUGACUACUCAAAUCUAGGCAGUGGGGCCCACCUGUCAUUGGGUGUAAUAUUUAACAAGGUUUUAUUUUAAACUAAAAUUCCUAAUUAGCAGGUGGGGGCCUAGUAGUCAUUGACUAAUUAAAAAAAGGGGGGGUUAUUGGGCAAAUAGGGGAUUUACCCCCUAAUCUAAAUAGGGCUGGCCUUGGUGGCAGUGGCCGAGCCGAUCGGCCACACGCUGGGCUCGCCCGCGCCUACGCACGCAGCCACAGCGAGCCAUGGCCACGGCGCGGCCGGCCGGAGCAGCGAGGGCCGGCGCUGCGGCUGGGGGCGGCGGCAGCGCUAGGCGGCGGGGCGGUUGGCGCGAGCGGAGGGGGUGGACCGAGGGCGCGCGCGGAUGCGGCGAGCAACCGCGAGCAGCAGCAACAGGCAGCGGCGGCCGAUGUGACUAGGGUGUGGCUGGCGAGCUGCAGGUGCAGGGCAGCAGUAGCUCUAGCGGAAGCAGCAGCAACGCAACAAGCAACAGCAGCAGAGCAGCUAUGGUGGGCGCAGCAGGGGCUCACCGGGAGAGCGGAGGGGAUCGGCCACGCGCGAGCGGGGGCACGGCUACGACGAAGAUGCUGCUGCAGACGUGGAUCUGGGGAGAUGACGAUCUAGGUGACUCCCUAGAGGCUCUUUGGGCGUAACAGAGGCACGGGUUCGUCUCGAGGUUGACUGCAACGGCGACGGCGGACAUGGCGGUGGCAGCGAAGCUUCGGCCGGAGCACGAAGACGACGGGGGCGAGCUAUGGCUACAAACGAAGAGCAUGGGGAGGGGGUUGGAUGCGGUGCUCACCGCGGGGCACAUGAAAGCCUUCGACGGCUUAGAAGCGCAGAGGACGGUCGGAGAGACCGUGGCGGACGGCGGUGCCCGACGAGGGGGCGAGCUCGAUGUCGUCCUCGUGGAGCCUCACCGGCUCUGGAUGCGGUCGAGGAAGGCGUAGAGGCGGCUAGCGCGUCUCCCAGACGACGUUUCCGGGCGUGGGGGCGCCGGUGGCCGCGCGUCGAGGGGGCGAUGGUGACAGAGGCGCUCGGGCGCCGGGCGAAGAAGGUGAGGGAGAAGAGGGGCGAGGAGAGGGAGAGAGAGGGGCGAGGUGAGC
rnacentral:lncRNA from 1 species